rfam:Nematostella vectensis strain CH2 x CH6 NEMVEscaffold_25_Cont4530, whole genome shotgun sequence.
GGCCUUGUUGCCUAAUGGAUAAGGCGCCUGACUACGGAUCAGGAGAUUCUAGGUUAGAUUCCUGGCAGGAUCG